GUAGCCAGUGCAGGAGAGUAAAGGCUUCACCUCCUCCUCUAUCCUCCAGGCCCUGCAUGGGCAUCUCCCACUGGAAGACUCUCAUCUGGCACUACAUGGGGAAAACAGCUGGAAGCUAAGGAGAGACAAAAGGAGGCAGUGAAGACGCCAAGCUGACUGACAUUCAGCCCACGCAUGGGGCACAGUGAGAUGAGCCACAAAUGAAUUAGUGCAACAGAGCGGGGAGUUUGGAGGGAAGUGACACUGGAGACAGCACCUACGCCCUGCUCUGUGGCUUUGCGGAAAUUUGCACAGAACAUGGAGUGAGAAAGGUCCUUCAGAAGACCUGCAAGGGAGGAACGCAGAUGUCAGCGUCUACUGGGGAAAGAACCACCACUCUGAGUUCAUUCUUUAUUCAGGGAAAAGCACACAAUCGUAAACAACGG